GUAACCUGAGGUAUCACUGUACUUAGAAUGGAAGAGGGUAGUUUCUUUUAUUAUGCAGUUCAUUGGCUUUUAAGCUGAUGGGUUACAUUCAUUAUUACUGUUUUUCAUUUGGACUUGGGAGAAAUGCAAAGAACAAUGAAAAAAAGGAUUUCCGUGAUCAUACACUUUAAAGAAAAAUCUUUGUUGUGUAGACCUCACCCUCCUGAUUUUAGUUCUUCCUCAGAGUGACUAACCUGUAUCAGAACUAUAUUGCUUUUCUUAAGUGAUUAGGCAAUUGACCAGUCAAAUAUUGGGUCAAAUAUUUUCAUACAAAGGAUACCAUUAAUUGAACCAUUAAUUUAUUAGAGGAAGGCAGUUGUCAAAGAGUGAUGUUCACCUAAGUCACAAUCAAGGUUUCACUUGACUUGAGUCAAUUGAUUUCAGUGGGUCUACUCUAAAUAUGACCAGCAUUGACUAUCACUCUAGUUAAUUAACCGUUGUAAUCAAUUAUUUUUAUUUAUUUAUUUCACAUCAUUUAUAUACCACUUGGUUAUAAUAAAACCUCAUAGUGGUUUACAAAAGAAAAAACAAUAAUAUUAUCAAUAGAAACAGUUAAAACCCAAGUAUUUAAAAUAUGCAUAACAACAACAACAACAACAACAACAGGAAGUUAAAACUGGGAGGUAAUUGGUAGCUUUCAGCUCUUGACUUCAGAGCUACCCAGGUUUGCUGCAAGUUGGCAUAAUGAGAGCUCACACCUGUUCAUUUCAAUAAGUAGAAGCCAUAGCAAUGGCAACUACUGUAUUUGACCAUUUGGAGAAUGAUUUGCUUUCUGCAUGCUGUGAGACCGUGCUUUGACACAAACCUAAUAUUUGUAUAUAUCUUGAAUAGGGAUUUUGGAGAAUUCCGACAGAAACGGGAAAAGAAGUUGCUGAUCUUUGCUUAUUUGUCCCAUAUCUAGAAUGGAAAUCAACCCAGAGAAUACAAUCUGCAUUUGCUAUUGUUACUACGUCUAGUCCGCAAACAAUCUGUAAGUGAUUACGUUUUCCCCAUUUGCACGGAAAUGGAUGGAGUGCCGUAACAUAAUUCUGCUACAGUGGAUGGCAAGAUGAAAAACAGUUUUGGGUGGAAGAUGAACUGCAGUAGAACAGAAACACUGCUGCAGGAUCAUCUUCUGCCAACUGCCCUGUGGUUACAAACAUGGAUGAAGGCAACAUAAUGUACCUCCUCCAGCUAGACUGCCUCUUCCCCCACUUACAGGACCACUAUCACAAAACGCCUGGGAGGCAUGAAAAAGGGAGAAAGGGAAGCUGUCGAAGACACAAUUCACAUCUGUUGCUGCUCUAACUGAAGACAAGCCAUUUCCCUGCCUUCACCACAUUCUUGGCUCUCCCCAGAAAAGAAGAAUGCCCUGCCACAAAAGUUUUCAGAUGCAAGUGCAAAAGAUUCACAACCACAUGUGAAAGAAAGAAGCAAGCUGGGGAGGUUUGAAAGACAGCCCAGCUUAGUCAGCAGACUUUUACUAUCUUGGCCAUGGAGAGUGAAAAGUGACUGCAGUGCUCAGAAUACCGACCUCAGUCUCAGGAGUAGUCAGUCAAAAUGUAGAUUCACAGCCAAGGAAUAUAUUGUUUUUGGAAGGCCACCUGCUGGGACUGCAAGGAGUUUUGAAGGUGUCAUGGGAGACCACAAGUCUCUUGCCCAGCUGGCUUUGGGACUCAAGAACAUCCUUUGACUUACCUGCAAUGCCUUAUUACUUUCUCCCACCCAGCCACAGAGAAAGAAAAUUAUUCAUUCUCCCCUCCCUCAACUGGCUAGUAGUCAGAAGUUAGAAACAGGCUGCAGGCAGAAGCCUGUGAAGGAGAGACAUGCUUGAUUUCUGCUGUAAUCCAAGGCGGUAGCGGCUAUGAGAAAAGCAAGACCCUCUGGGGGUAUUAAUGCUAUGAGCCCCUCUGUCACAGGCUCAGGUUGUAUAUAUGUGUAAAUAAACCAUAUAUCAUAAACACA